rnacentral:rRNA from 1 species
UGCGAGUCGAGCGGUAAGGCUCCUUCGGGAGUACACGAGCGGCGAGCGGGUGAGUAGCACAGUGAGCAAUCUGCCCUUCUCAGUCGGAAUAACCAUUGGAAACGAUGGCUGAUGCCGAAUACGACCUCCCUUCGCAUGUUGGGAGGUGGAAAGCUCCGGCGGAGAAGGAUGAGCUCGCGGCCUAUCAGCUUGUUGGCGGGGUAACGGCCCACCAAGGCAACGACGGGUAGCCGGCCUGAGAGGGUGACCGGCCACACUGGGACUGAGACACGGCCCAGACUCCUACGGGAGGCAGCAGUGGGGAAUAUUGGACAAUGGGCGAAAGCCUGAUCCAGCAACGCCGCGUGAGGGAUGACGGCCUUCGGGUUGUAAACCUCUUUCAGCAGGGACGAAGCGAAAGUGACGGUACCUGCAGAAGAAGGACCGGCCAACUACGUGCCAGCAGCCGCGGUAAUACGUAGGGUCCGAGCGUUGUCCGGAAUUAUUGGGCGUAAAGGGCUCGUAGGCGGUCUGUCGCGUCGGGAGUGAAAACUCAGGGCUUAACCCUGAGCGUGCUUCCGAUACGGGCAGACUAGAGGGAUGCAGGGGAGAACGGAAUUCCUGGUGUAGCGGUGGAAUGCGCAGAUAUCAGGAGGAACACCGGUGGCGAAGGCGGUUCUCUGGGCAUUACCUGACGCUGAGGAGCGAAAGCAUGGGGAGCGAACAGGAUUAGAUACCCUGGUAGUCCAUGCCGUAAACGUUGGGCGCUAGGUGUGGGGACCUUC